GGGGACAGUAGAGGACCAUGGAGUCCAUAGGGGGAGAGAGCGGAGAUGUGAGGGACUGAUAUAGAAUCAUAGAAUCGCUAAGGUUGGAAAAGACCCACAGGAUCAUCCAGUCCAACCAUUCGCCCUUCACCAAUGGUUCUCACUAAACCAUGUCCCUCAACACAACAUCCAAACGUUCUUUGAACACCACCAGGGUUGGUGACUCCACCACCUCUCUGGGCAGCCCAUUGCAGUGCCUGACCGCCCUUUCAGAGAAGUAGUAUUUCCUAAUGUCCAACCUGAACCUUCCCUGGCGCAGCUUGAAGCCAUUCCCUCUAGUCCUAGAGGGAAUAUAAGUGUUGUUGUUGGUAGGAGGACUUGCUUUGACAUAAGAUCAGGGAGAAUGUGAGGGGGACAAGUGGUGGGGAGCAAUAUGCUAUCCAACGUCAGUGUUUCUGUUGAGGUUAUGUGGUGUGGUUGAGCUUGUUAGUUUAAAACUGAUUCGUUCAUCUUCCUUAGAAGCACUUACCAAGAAGCGUUCUAAGAAUACAGAGAAGAGUUAACUGGAAGGCCGUUGUGGGUAGCAGGGGUACUGCAGUGUAACUGCUGCUCACAGGGCCUCGGCUGCAGCAUCACCCUGAGAAGAAAAGCGCAAGGCAGGGCCGGAAGGGUUAAACUGGGUGCAGAACGGGGCAUCGCUGGUGGGUCCGGGGCCCUUCCGAGAGAAACGCCUUAAGGAUCCGCGCUGCUAACGGACAUCAAGAUCCGCAUCGCGCCCGCCGCGCCGCCACGUAGCUGCAACCCAACGCAGCAGGAAGUAAACACAGCGACUUCCUGCAGGCCGCGCUAGGCCCCCGGUUCCAGCAGGCUCUAUGGUCAUCGGUCCUCCACGUGAAUUGCGCACGCGUGCUAAACCAUCCUGGAGGUCAUACACUGCGCAUGCGUAGCGGCUCUCCGCUGCUCCCCGCUGACUGCCAUGCGGCACUGCACGUACCGGAGCGGCGGCACCUGCGCAUUGCGGUGCGCAUGCGUAGAACAAUCAGGAGGACCGGGUACAAUAGAGAUCAGCGUACUGCUGGUGUACAGCUGUCCCUGCAGAAAGACGCUACUUCCGUGUUGCCGGGCGCAUGCGUUUCACCUUCCGGAGGACUGAAAACCAUAGAAAAUAGCGAACCGGCGGCGUAGGAGUGCACGACAAUCAGAGACUACUUCCGGAAACACAGGCGCACGUGUACCAUGACAUGGAGAACCUAUUGCCAUGGAAACAGCCGGCUGGAGACAGGGAGCAACACCAAACAGCGCUUCCGUGUUCCAGCACCCAUGCCCACCACGACCCGAAAAAUACCCUGCCUUAGCGGUAAGCUGAACGCCCAAACUCCAUAGCCAUAAGCACAACCACAGCUUCAUAACGACACCCAUAGACAAGACCCAGCCCAAGACGAUCACAAACUCCACGCACUAGACAAACAGCACUUUGGUAGCUCUACGCUGUCUCUUCUCUCUCCGUUCGCGCUCCCGAGCGAGCCCUGGGACCGGACCGCUCUGCUCCCAUCUGCCCCCGCUCCGCGCCCGGUGGCAGCCGAUUGGCUCAGCGCCGCGGUAGAUUUGCAUGUGCCCGCCCCACCGCCGCCUGUGAGCAGCAGCGCCACCUGCUGGACGCAGUGUGGUACUGCAGCGCUGCUACGCACGGACGGCGUUUUUUGGGGGCGAGGAAGAGGCUCUGAGACAUUCACCAUCAGCCCCAAAUCUGGAAUUAGUUACUAACUGCAGAGAUUCUUGGUCACAGCAUUUCAGUUUGCAAAUUAAAUUUUAUAAAGCCGUAUUUCCCUGAGCUUCCAUGCUGAAGAGCCAACCAGUAUGUUUAUUUCUGUAUGAUGGAACUUGUAUACCAUCCAGACCUUACAAAAAAUAUAUUGGAAGGAGAAAUGCAUUACAGUUCAGCACAGCACUGACAGCAUAGAAAACCCCCCAAGUGAGUUGCAGGAGGAGGUGUUUCUUCACAGUUAGGUUUUUACAUCAAUCCCUGUGUUUUAUUCAGACUCGUUAAGAGGUGUUGUGGAUGCAAAAUGCCACAGGCUGUGGCAAAAUGAAAGAGGCAUCACUGCUGCAAGAAGUU
ensembl:lncRNA